rnacentral:rRNA from 1 species
AGAGUUUGAUUGGCUCAGAUUGAACGCUGGCGGCAGGCUUAACACAUGCAAGUCGAGCGGUAACAGGGGAGCUUGCUCCCGCUGACGAGCGGCGGACGGGUGAGUAAUGCCUGGGGAUCUGCCCUAGUGAGGGGAAUAACCACUGGAAACGGUGGCUAAUGCCGCAUAACGUCGCAAGACCAAAGUGGGGGACCUUCGGGCCUCACGCACUAGGAUGAACCCAGGUGAGAUUAGCUAGUUGGUGAGGUAAUGGCUCACCAAGGCGACGAUCUCUAGCUGGUCUGAGAGGAUGUUCAGCCACACUGGGACUGAGACACGGCCCAGACUCCUACGGGAGGCAGCAGUGGGGAAUAUUGGACAAUGGGGGCAACCCUGAUCCAGCCAUGCCGCGUGUGUGAAGAAGGCCUUCGGGUUGUAAAGCACUUUCAUUGGUGAGGAAGGAUAUAAAAUUAAUACUUUUAUGUAUUGACGUUAACCAAAGAAGAAGCACCGGCUAACUCCGUGCCAGCAGCCGCGGUAAUACGGAGGGUGCGAGCGUUAAUCGGAAUUACUGGGCGUAAAGGGCAUGCAGGCGGUUACAUAAGUCAGAUGUGAAAUCCCCGCGCUUAACGUGGGCAUUGCAUUUGAAACUAUGUAGCUAGAGUUCUGUAGAGGGGGGUAGAAUUCCAGGUGUAGCGGUGAAAUGCGUAGAGAUCUGGAGGAAUACCGAUUGCGAAGGCAGCCCCCUGGACAGUGACUGACGCUCAUAUGCGAAAGCGUGGGGAUCAAACAGGAUUAGAUACCCUGGUAGUCCACGCUGUCAACGAUGUCGAUUUGAAGGUUGUGGCUUUAAGCCGUGGCUUUCGGAGCUAACGCGUUAAAUCGACCGCCUGGGGAGUACGGCCGCAAGGUUAAAACUCAAAUGAAUUGACGGGGGCCCGCACAAGCGGUGGAGCAUGUGGUUUAAUUCGAUGCAACGCGAAGAACCUUACCUACUCUUGACAUCCAGUGAACCUUGUAGAGAUACGAGGGUGCCUUCGGGAACACUGAGACAGGUGCUGCAUGGCUGUCGUCAGCUCGUGUUGUGAAAUGUUGGGUUAAGUCCCGCAACGAGCGCAACCCUUAUCCUUUGUUGCUAGCGGUUCGGCCGAGAACUCAAAGGAGACUGCCAGUGUUAAACUGGAGGAAGGUGGGGAUGACGUCAAGUCAUCAUGGCCCUUACGAGUAGGGCUACACACGUGCUACAAUGGGGUAUACAAAGAGAGGCAAGCCUGCGAGGGUAAGCGGAACUCAUAAAGUACCUCAAAGUCCGGAUUGGAGUCUGCAACUCGACUCCAUGAAGUCGGAAUCGCUAGUAAUCGUAAAUCAGAAUGUUACGGUGAAUACGUUCCCGGGCCUUGUACACACCGCCCGUCACACCAUGGGAGUGGGUUGCAAAAGAAGUCAAUAGCUUAACCUUCGGGAGGGCGUUGACCACUUUGUGAUUCAUGACUGGGGUGAAGUCGUAACAAGGUACCCG